AUCCAGUUGACGAGUCCCAAAUAGGACGAAACACUUGUCUUGAAU
rnacentral:hammerhead_ribozyme from 1 species